CCGUUUAAAUUCUCUCCCAGGAGCACGUGUCUUUCUUUCUGUGCUGAGCUGUGUUGGAGACAGUCACUGUCUGGGAGCUGGAGCUCCGUUAUUGGGGGAAUGGAGCCUCCUUGAGCAAUUCCUUGUCCUGAUGUCUGUGGGGAUUUCAGGGAAAUGAGCAGCAGAUGGAGCCAUAUUCUGGUGGGACACAGAAUUAUGCGACCAUAGCGGCCUCCUAUUGCUGAAUGAGUGAGUAACAAGAAAUCCAAGGGGCCACAGAUGGAGCAGAAGGACCAUGAUAUAGAUUGUCUGCCCAGAGCAUUCCAUUUCUGUAUAUUUGUAUUUAUACAUAUGGGAGGAGGAGGUGCCAUAUUGAUUCCCUUAGACAGUACAGUAUGAGGGCAUAGCUUAUUGUGUGCC